rnacentral:rRNA from 1 species
AUUGAACGCUGGCGGCAUGCUUUACACAUGCAAGUCGAACGGUAACAGGCCUUCGGGUGCUGACGAGUGGCGAACGGGUGAGUAAUGCAUCGGAACGUGCCCAGAGGUGGGGGAUAACGCAGCGAAAGCUGUGCUAAUACCGCAUGUGAUCUGAGGAUGAAAGCGGGGGACCAGGCAGCAAUGUUUGGCCUCGCGCCUUUGGAGCGGCCGAUGUCAGAUUAGGUAGUUGGUGGGGUAAAGGCCUACCAAGCCGACGAUCUGUAGCUGGUCUGAGAGGACGACCAGCCACACUGGGACUGAGACACGGCCCAGACUCCUACGGGAGGCAGCAGUGGGGAAUUUUGGACAAUGGGCGCAAGCCUGAUCCAGCAAUGCCGCGUGCGGGAAGAAGGCCUUCGGGUUGUAAACCGCUUUUGUACGGGACGAAAAGGCUCUGGCUAAUACCUGGGGCUGAUGACGGUACCGUAAGAAUAAGCACCGGCUAACUACGUG